ensembl:lncRNA
UGCAGUUUUAUUUCAUCCAGAUGUACAAAGCAGCAGGUACAGCCGUUGGUAUUGAUAUGAUCAGUCUCUCACCACAGAAGAAACCAACAUAAAACAGGUGUGAAUCUUUAGAAAAACGCGCUCCACUUCACAUUCUAACAAGUAUUUAAAACAUAUCCCACCAGAAAGAAAAUUUUUUAUGUCUAUCAUUAUAUAAAAAUACAUACUUUGUCAGACAAAUAUUCUUAAAUUCAAAUGAUGAUGGAACUGGAGACAGCGAGGUGAAUGAGCGGAUUGUGUAAAAUGUUGAAUUGCAAGCAAGUUAUUUUAUCCCAUGAAUGAAACCUGAUGCCAAAAUAAGUGUAUCGGCAUGUUAAGCAGCACAUGUCUUUGUGUUCUCAUUUUAGUCCAGCCAUACAGUAUUUUGGCACAGCUCCCCUGAGACCAACACAAACGAUGGAAAGAUUCCACACGGGUGUGAAAUCACAUGACUGAAACUUGAUAAUCCUUUCCAAUGGCUGGCUGAACUCACAGAGCUAGACAACAUCAACAUGCUUCCGACUCUCCUCACCACCAUGCUUUUUACAAUGGGAUCAGAUGCUGUCCCAUAUGCCAUCUUAUCUCCACCAUUUCACUUGAACACUGAUCUCAGAGGCUUGUCCAUCCUGGUGUGUGUGGUUCAUGACAUUCAUCAAGGAGAGCUGGAGGUCACCUGGAUUUCUAGUGGCAUCAGAGGAACUAAUCCAGCGGUUCCUAACUUACUCCAAGGACACAGUGGCAUUCAGAGCACAAUGUCUGUUAUAUCUGUGCCCACGAGUGAAUGGAUGUCCUACACCUGCUUUGUGAGUCACAGAGGCUCCGAUCAACUCAUGCACAGACAUUAUGCUGGACUCCCAAUGGAGACAACUGAAAUGGAUGAUGAUGAAGAAACGUUUGAUACGUGUUUGGACAAUCAAAGCAGUUUUUUGGAAGAUGUUCGAGCAAACAAAGAUCUAUUAUUUGUUCAAGCUCUCAGAAUUAUCCUCCUCAAAAUCACCAUUUUCAACGUUUUGAUGACAGUGCAAGCCGUUAUAAAGUGGUAA